rnacentral:rRNA from 1 species
UGAGCAAUCUGCCCUUCUCAUCGGAAUAAGCGUUGGAAACGACGUCUAAUGCCGAAUACGACCUCCUUUCGCAUGAUCGGAGGUGGAAAGCUCCGGCGGAGAAGGAUGAGCUCGCGGCCUAUCAGCUAGUUGGUGUGGGUAAUGGCCCACCAAGGCGAUGACGGGUAGCCGGCCUGAGAGGGUGACCGGCCACACGUGGGACUGAGACACGGCCCAGACUCCGUAGGGAG